rnacentral:rRNA from 2 species
CGCCCUUUUCCGGUUGAUCCUGCCGGACCCGACUGCUAUCGGAUUGAGAUUUAGCCAUGCGAGUUAAACGUCCCUUGAUUGCAGGGGGCGUAGCAUACGGCUCAGUAACACGUAGUCAACCUGCCCUGGAGACGCGGAUAACCCCGGGAAACUGGGACCAAUCCGUGAUAGGUCGCCCCAUCUGGAAGGAGGGGCGGCCCAAAGGGGAAUUGUGGGCUUCCACUUUUCUCGCUCUAGGAUGGGACUGCGGCCGAUCAGGCUGUUGGCGGGGUAAUGGCCCACCAAACCUGUAACCGGUACGGGCCUUGAGAGAGGUGGCCCGGAGAUGGACACUGAGACAAGGGUCCAGGUCCUACGGGGCGCAGCAGGCGCGAAACCUUCGCAAUGUGCGAAAGCAUGACGAGGUUAAUCCGAGUGGCUUCCGCUGAGGAAGUCUUUUGCCGACUGUAAAAAGGUCGGAGAAUAAGGGGAGGGCAAGUCUGGUGUCAGCCGCCGCGGUAAUACCAGCUCCUCGAGUGGUCGGGGCGAUUAUUGGGCCUAAAGCAUCCGUAGCCGGUUCCGUAGGUCUCCUGCAAAAUCCAGUCGCUCAACGAUUGGCCCGCAGGAGAUACCGCGGGACUAGGAGGCGGGAGAGGUGGACGGUACUCCACGUGUAGGGGUAAAAUCCUUUGAUCCGUGGAAGACCACCAGUGGCGAAGGCGGUCCACCAGAACGCGCUCGACGGUGAGGGAUGAAAGCUGGGGGAGCGAACCGGAUUAGAUACCCGGGUAGUCCCAGCCGUAAACGAUGCUAGCUAGAUGAUCCGAUCGUAAAUCAUGAUCGGAGUGUCGCAGGGAAGCCGUUAAGCUAGCCGCCUGGGGAGUACGGUCGCAAGACUGAAACUUAAAGGAAUUGGCGGGGGAGCACCACAAGGGGUGAAGCCUGCGGUUCAAUUGGAGUCAACGCCGGGAAACUUACCAGGAGAGACAGCAGAUUGAGGGUCAGACUGAAGAUCUUACCUGACGAGCUGAGAGGAGGUGCAUGGCCGUCGCCAGCUCGUGCCGUGAGGCGUCCUGUUAAGUCAGGCAACGAGCGAGACCCAAAGGGCG